AUGGAGCAAUUGAAGAAGAGGAUGGAUGUUGCAGAACAACAAAUCAAAGAGCUGCGUGAAGAUCUUAAUCGUAGAUUUGAUCAGCUGGUUGAGAUGAUAAGGAAGGGUGUUCCCCCUGCUACCAAUGAAGGAGAUUCAUCUAAAGAAGAUGUUCAUCAAAGGAGAGGUGAUCUUGGAGCAAGACCGCCACAACAACGUGUUGUUCAACGUGCUUCAAGAAGGCCAAUUUAUGUUGAAACUUCUGGAGGUGAAGAAUAUGAUGAAGCCCUUGAAGAAGCUGAUCUCUAUGCAUAUCGGGGAGUACCCAACCCUACAUAUGCAAGGGAUACAUACAAGGUGAAAGCUGAGAUCCCAACUUUUAAUGGAAAUGUUGAUAUUGAAGGGUGCCUAGAUUGGUUAUAUGAAGUGGAGACAUUCUUUGAGGUCAUGGAGGUUUCGGAAGAUCGUAGAGUUCCUUUGGUCGCAUACAAGCUGAAAGGAGGAGCCGGUGCAUGGUGGCAUCGCGCUCAAGAAGAGCGCAGGCUGAGAGGAGAACCUCGUGUGAGAACUUGGCGGCAAAUGAAAAGUCUCUUGAAAGGGAGAUUUUUGCCCGUUGAUUAUGACCAGAUCCUAUUUAUCCAAUUUCAAAAUUGUGCUCAAGGAAGUAGGACUGUUUCAGAUUACACGGAGGAGUUUCUAAGGCUACAAGUGAGGUGCAACCUUGCUGAAACUGAAGAUCAACAAGUUGCAAGGUACAUCAAUGGUCUCAAUGAUGCUAUUCAAGAUCGAUUGAUGAUGCAACAAAUCUGGUCCGCUGAUCAAGCACAAGCUCUAGCCUUAAAGGCCGAGAGGUUUGUGAGGACAAGAAAGGCAACUAAGGCUCCAUAUCCUCCAUAUCCUUAUACCAAAGGCUCGUCUAGGAGUCACCCUAAUAGAGUGGAAGGAAAGACCGCUCCACCUAAGGCAAAACGACCCAUCCAGAAGCAAACUAGAGGCAAGGGUAAGUCCAAUGAAGGCCCAAAAUGCUAUAAAUGUGGCGAAGAGGGACACAUAUCCAGCGGCUGCCCACUAAGGAAAUUUGUUAACACAACUAUCCUUGAUGGUGAAGACGAUGAGGAAGAAUACGAAUCUGAAGAUGUAGAGGGGCAAGAGGUUUGUCAAGAAGAAGGUGAAGAGGUGGUAUGUGUGAUCCAGCGUCUCCUAUGUUCCACACCACAACCUGACAACACACAACGGAAGAAAAUAUUUGAGAGCAAAUGCACGGUGAAUGGCAAGGUAUGCAAAUUAGUGAUUGAUAGUUGCAGUUGUGAGAAUCUUAUCUCCCAGAAGUUGGUGAACCAUUUAAAGCUUGAUAUUCAUGAUCAUCCAAACCCCUACACUAUUGGGUGGAUCAAGAAAGGAGUGAAUAUGAGGAUCACCAAACAAUGCAACCUGCCACUUCCUUUGGGCAAGCAUUAUCGCUCAAAUGUGUUGUGUGAUGUGGUUGACAUGGAUGUCAGCCAUGUUCUUCUUGGGAGACCUUGGCAAUUUGAUGUGGAUACUACACACAAGGGCAAGGAAAAUUCUUACUCUUUCAUUUGGAACAAGAGAAAGAUCAUUAUUUUACCAAACAAAACCGAAGGUAAUACCUCUGAGGAGGGGAAAACUAUGUUAACUAUCUCCCAUACCUCUCAUGAGUUUAUGGAAGACUUGAAGGAGGCAGAUUUGUGUGCUGCACUUGUUGUAAAAGGAGAAGAGCACCUGACUGUCGAAAUUCCAGCAAAGGUACGUGGUUUAUUGGCAGAAUUUCAGAACAUACUUGGGGAGCCACAUGGCUUGCCACCGAUGAGAGGAAUUCAACAUAGUAUUGACUUAAUUCCGGGAGCAAGUCUUCCUAAUCUUCCACACUAUCGAAUGAGCCCAAAGGAGCAUGAUAUAUUGAAGGAGAAAGUGGAGGAAUUGUUGCAGAAGGGGCACAUUCGAGAAAGUAUUAGCCCAUGUGCUGUACCAGCCCUACUCGCGCCAAAGAAAGAUGGAUCUUGGCGCAUGUGUACGGACAGUAGAGCCGUUAACAAGAUCACCAUAAGGUAUAGAUUCCCUAUUCCCCGUCUGGAUGAUAUGUUGGAUCAACUUAGUGGAGCAAGAGUGUUCACAAAGCUAGAUUUAAGAAGUGGAUAUCAUCAAAUCCGUAUAAGACCUGGGGAUGAAUGGAAGACCGCCUUCAAGACAAAGGAAGGGUUGUUUGAAUGGCUAGUCAUGCCAUUUGGACUCUCAAAUGCACCAAGUACCUUUAUGCACUUAAUAAAUCAAGUCCUUAGACCCUUCUUAUCCCACUUUGUUGUGGUCUAUUUCGAUGACAUCUUGAUCUAUAGCAAGGAUGAGGAUGAACACUUUGAUCACAUUCGGAAGGUGUUAGAAGUACUAAGGGAAAAUGAGCUCUACGUCAACUUGAAGAAAUGUGUUUUCCUGCAAACUCAACUUCUUUUCCUAGGAUUCGUCAUAACAUGUGACGGCAUUCGUGUUGAUGAUUCUAAGGUUGAAGCAAUCCGAGAAUGGCCAACUCCUAAGACCAUUUCUGAGGUAAGAAGCUUUCAUGGCCUUGCAACUUUCUAUAGUCGAUUUGUUAAGAAUUUCAGCACUAUCAUGGCACCAAUUACCGAGUGUUUGAAGAAAGGAAAGUUCCAAUGGGCAGAAGCAGCUGAAGCUAGCUUCAAUGAGAUUAAACAAAAGCUAUCACAAGCUCCUGUCUUGGUACUACCUGAUUUCAACAAUACUUUUGAGUUGGAGUGUGAUGCAAGUGGAGUAGGCAUUGGAGCUGUCCUAUCUCAAGAAAGGAAGCCCAUUGCUUUCUUUAGUGAGAAGUUAAGUGAAGCUAGACAGAAAUGGAGUACCUAUCAGCAAGAAUUAUACGCCGUUUUCAGAGCGUUGAAAACUUGGGAAGUCUAUUUGCUGCCUAAAGAAUUCAUUAUUUAUAGCGACCAUCAAUCCUUGAAGUAUUUUAGAAAUCAAAAGCAUGUUGACCGCAUGCUAGCAAGAUGGGCAACAUAUCUGGAGAGGUUUAACUAUCUCAUCGUGCAUAAAUCUGGAAUAACUAAUAGAGUGGCCGAUGCUUUGAGUCGUCGUGCAUGCCUCUUGACUUCUUUUGAAGCUGAACUUCCGGGCAUGGAUCAAAUAAAGGAGUUGUAUGAGGGUGACGAAGACUUUGGCCAUGUUUUGGUAAAGCACGCAAGGGGCCAACCAUUAGGCGAUGACUAUUUGAUGCAAGAUGGAUAUCUCUUCAAAAAUGAUUGUUUGUGCAUUCCAAGAAGUUCUCUACGUGACAAGUUGGUUAAAGAGCUCCAUUCAAGUGAUCUUAGUGGCCAUGUUGGACGGGACAAGACUAUCGCUAGCCUGGAAGCUCGCUACUUUUGGCCACAACUAAAAAGAGAUGCUGGAAAGUUUGUUCAGCGAUGCCCAAUAUGUCAAACCUGCAAAGGCCAAGUCUAG
rnacentral:rRNA from 1 species